rnacentral:rRNA from 1 species
UACGAAGGGUGCAAGCGUUACUCGGAAUUACUGGGCGUAAAGCGUGCGUAGGUGGUUUGUUAAGUCUGAUGUGAAAGCCCUGGGCUCAACCUGGAAAUUGCACUGGAUACUGGCAGGCUAGAGUGCGGUAGAGGAUGGCGGAAUUCCCGGUGUAGCAGUGAAAUGCGUAGAGAUCGGGAGGAACAUCUGUGGCGAAGGCGGCCAUCUGGACCAGCACUGACACUGAGGCACGAAAGCGUGGGGAGCAAACAGG